CGGAGGGUGCAAGCGUUGCUCGGAAUCACUGGGCGUAAAGAGCGUGUAGGCGGUUUCGUAUGUCUGACGUGAAAGCCCCGGGCUCACCCCGGGAAGUGCGUUGGAAACUGCGAGACUAGAGUCCCGGAGAGGAAGGUGGAAUUCCAGGUGUAGCGGUGAAAUGCGUAGAUAUCUGGAAGAACACCGGUGGCGAAGGCGGCCUUCUGGACGGUGACUGACGCUGAGACGCGAAAGCGUGGGGAGCAAACAGGAUUAGAUACCCUGGUAGUCCACGCCAUAAACGAUGGGAACUAGGUGUCGCGGGUAUUGACCCCUGCGGUGCCGCAGCUAACGCAUUAAGUUCCCCGCCUGGGGACUACGGCCGCAAGGUUA
rnacentral:rRNA from 1 species